rnacentral:rRNA from 2 species
GGUUGUGCCCUUGAGGCGUGGCUUCCGGAGCUAACGCGUUAAGUCGACCGCCUGGGGAGUACGGCCGCAAGGUUAAAACUCAAAUGAAUUGACGGGGGCCCGCACAAGCGGUGGAGCAUGUGGUUUAAUUCGAUGCAACGCGAAGAACCUUACCUACUCUUGACAUCCAGAGAACUUUCCAGAGAUGGAUUGGUGCCUUCGGGAACUCUGAGACAGGUGCUGCAUGGCUGUCGUCAGCUCGUGUUGUGAAAUGUUGGGUUAAGUCCCGCAACGAGCGCAACCCUUAUCCUUUGUUGCCAGCGGUUAGGCCGGGAACUCAAAGGAGACUGCCAGUGAUAAACUGGAGGAAGGUGGGGAUGACGUCAAGUCAUCAUGGCCCUUACGAGUAGGGCUACACACGUGCUACAAUGGCGCAUACAAAGAGAAGCGACCUCGCGAGAGCAAGCGGACCUCAUAAAGUGCGUCGUAGUCCGGAUUGGAGUCUGCAACUCGACUCCAUGAAGUCGGAAUCGCUAGUAAUCGUAGAUCAGAAUGCUACGGUGAAUACGUUCCCGGGCCUUGUACACACCGCCCGUCACACCAUGGGAGUGGGUUGCAAAAGAAGUAGGUAGCUUAACCUUCGGGAGGGCGCUUACCACUUUGUGAUUCAUGACUGGGGUGAAGUCGUAACAAGGGUA